GAGGUGAGUCCAGAAUAGAAGUAGGGAAGCUGGGGAAGCAAAAAUGAUCCUUGAAAGAGGAAGUCUCCUUGGGGGCGCCCCUAUUAAGCGGCCUCAGGAUUCCAUCCCCUUACUGACUUUCCACCACUCAUUUCUUGAGAUCACUCGAUCACUCGGGGACCUUGCCCUGACUCUGGAAUUCGCAUAUGAGUCAGAAGUUCAAAGGAAUGGAGUCCACCUCCGCCAGGAUCAUAAAGUAUCCUCCAGGCUCUUUCUCACCCCGCCCCGACCUCAGGCUCUGUCCCAAUUCCAGGUGCAGGUGGGAUCUCUGAGUCAGAGAUAAGCCAGAAGUGAUGGGCGCUGAGCUCAGUGCUCCUUUCCACACCUGGUUUCCUCCCCACUCCAGCUGCCUCCUUCCCACACAGGCUGACCGAGGACACCCCUGGCUUUCGGGGCCCCAUCGGCACGUAUGGGGCUGGUCGGUCAGAGCUGGGGCUGGGAGUCCUCCAGUAAACCUGAAGUUCGGCACCGACAGACACACAGACAUCCAGAUGUACUUACCCCCUUCUGCAGCCAGGAUCCAAAUCACCUCCAGCAGGAGACUGAAGAACAGCAUAGUAUCCCCGGAAGAAGCAGGUACUGGGAGUUUGGGGACUAGAGGGACUAGGUUUGGCAGAGAAAGGGGGGGGGGGAUGAGGGAGAGAGGGGAGAGAGGAGGGAGGGAGGGAAGAGAGAGAGGAGUUUCUUGGAGCUGAGCUGAUUGUAUUUAUCUCUUUUUCUCUUGAUGUCUUGUGGGCUUCCAGGGGAUUUGGUUUUCAGUAGGGUACUGUAGGGUUUUGGAUCCCUAGGACAAAUCUUUCGCUGCCUCUUUUUAAAAAUCUACCUCUACAGUCUUCAGUCCACUUGCUGGCCAGCGACUUCACAAUUGCCUCCUGCUUUUAAGGUGGCUCUGGACGGGUGUACAGGGUGGGGGUGGGGGGGCUGCCUGGGUUGCUGGAGAACAGCUCCUUAAAUAGCCGAUUGGGCAUGCGGACCUGGAGUGUGCAGCUUCAUGGGAGCCCUGGCCCUGGCUCAGGAGCCCAACUGGGGUGAGCUCUUCCUUCCUCUGUUCUUCUCAUGGGCACUGUCCAGGUAAGUGUCCUCUGGGGCAGCCGGGGCACGGGAGGAGGGCUUCGGGGUCCAGUCCUUGCCCCCUCAGGGGGGACACUGUGUUCUCAUUCCCCUUGUGGCUUCUCUAAGGGGCAGCUCUCCUGGGUGGUAUGGGGCAGAGUGGGGGGAAGAUCUAUUUCCUGUCCCCUGCAGAAUUUGAGCUGCUCUGGAAUAGGAAGAGUCCAAAGUUUGGAGAUAGACAACCUGGAGGAGUUGGGGACUCGGGGUGCAGGUGGAGGGUAGGAAGUCAAGGGCUAAAAGCUAGCUCAUGAGGACUCCUGGGUGGUUCAGCGGGGGGCAUCUGCCUUUGGUUCAGGGCAUGAUCCCAGGGUCCAGGGAUCGAGUCCCACAUUGGGCUUCCUGCAUGGAGCUUGCUUCUCCCUCUGCCUCUCUCUCUCUCUCUGUGUCUCUCAUGAGUGGAUAGAGUCUUAAAAAGAAAAUAAAAUAAAAGCUAGCUCAUGGAAAAUAAAGAAGAGAACUGAGGCAAGAGACCUUGCUUGGAGCGAUCUCUUCCUGCGCCUGUCACCACCCGCUUCCCACGAGUCAACAGCCUUGAGGAUGCACCCAUUUGAACUCACUCUGCGCUUGUCCCUCCUGCCAAGGAGCAAGAAGAAACCAAAACAAAGGGAACAGAGACUAAAUGAGGGAGCAAGAUAAAUGCCAAUUGAACAGAAUAAUGCAUGUGCUGGAUCAUCGGGGCCUCCUGAGGCAGGAACUGCCUGGUCUUUCUGUGCCCUGUGAUUGAUCUGCAAAGCAAAACCAUUUGCCAGAUAUAAUUUCCUUCUUCAUUUCCUCAUCACCUGUCAGAAUUAUUUUUCCCUUACAGAUACAUUUUAUGUUUUGAGGUUCCCCCAAAGCCCCAUCUCAUCCAAGAAGAAUAAAAGGUAUAAAGUGUAAACUAGACAUCCUGGGAAUCAGGAUAGUUAACACAGAGAAACAGAGAAAAGAAGAAAAGCAGAGACAUUUACUGCACAGGGUGGUGGUAGAGGGGGAGAAUAGGCCUGGACAGAAUGACCUCUGCUGGGUCAGAGUUCCCUUUCAGUGGCGCCUGGAAUUCAGCUUCCCCAGGCAGGUAGUGUCUUGCCAGGCGCCACCUCCUGGUUGUCUCGUGAAUUUUUAAAAAAUUUUAAAAUCUCAUUUUAAAACGUGUGACUGCUUAGGGGAAGUGUUUCACUGCUGAUGGGAUUUGGGAUUUUGCCUACAGAAAUAAACAUUGUUUCACAAAAAUGUCUUAGCCCCAAAUCAGCACCUUCCCACUUCUGAGUGAGCAGCCUCUCCAGGCCCUCAUGCUUCCCAAGUGGACAAGGCCUUGGUUUCUGGGAAGGCGGGAGAAAGGAGGCAAGCACCAUCCUCCAGGCACUUGCCUUUAUUUUGAUCUUUUGUUCUACCAUGGAUAUUUCUGUUGUCCCCGAGGUAAUUUGGAGUAGGUGUCAGGAGGGUCCUUACAUAUUAAAACAAAAUAAAAUGCCACCCCACUACCACUCCCUUCAACUUAGUAGCCUUCAAACUCUGGCACCUUUGUUUUAAUUCCUACUUCUGUCUCCGGGACAUUCCUUAACCUGGGCUUGGCUAAACCCAAGGCAUUGCACUGCCCUCUGGCGCCAUCUCCUGU